GACGAACGCUGGCGGCGUGCUUAACACAUGCAAGUCGAACGGAAAGGCCUGCUUUCCCUUGUGGAUUGCGGGUACUCGAGUGGCGAACGGGUGAGUAACACGUGAGUGAUCUGCCCCCAACUUGGGUAUAAGCCUGGGAAACUGGGUCUAAUUCCCGAUAGGACUGCAGGGUGGUGCCUGUGGUGGAAAACGAUUUUCUAGUGGUUGGGGAUGAGCUCGCGGCCUAUCAGCUUGUUGGUGGGGUAAUGGCCUACCAAGGCGGCGACGGGUAGCCGGCCUGAGAGGGUGGACGGCCACAUUGGGACUGAGAUACGGCCCAGACUCCGACGGGAGGCAGCAGUGGGGAAUAUUGCACAAUGGGCGGAAGCCUGAGGCAGCGACGCCGCGUGGGGGAUGACGGCCUUCGGGUUGUAAACUCCUUUCGACCGCGAGGAAGCCACCUGGUUGGAAGGGUGGUGACGGUAGUGGUAGAAGAAGCACCGGCUAACUACGUG
rnacentral:rRNA from 1 species